AAGACUAUACUUUCAGGGUUCGUUUCUGUAGUUCAUUAAUAUAAAUACUUAAAAAAAAUAAAAAAGGAAGCAGUAUCUGCUGGAAAAGAGCUCCCAUGCUAAGACCGGCCAGCUCAGUACGGCCCUACAGGACUCAUUCCCUGCCUGUGUAUGCUGUCCUGGCCCAACCCUGGGCAGUGGCAGGGGUUGGGCAUUAUCGCUGAGCAGC